GAUGAACGCUGGCGGCGUGCCUAAUACAUGCAAGUCGAGCGAACAGAUGAGGAGCUUGCUCCUCUGACGUUAGCGGCGGACGGGUGAGUAACACGUGGAUAACCUACCUAUAAGACUGGGAUAACUUCGGGAAACCGGAGCUAAUACCGGAUAAUAUAUUGAACCGCAUGGUUCAAUAGUGAAAGACGGUUUUGCUGUCACUUAUAGAUGGAUCCGCGCCGCAUUAGCUAGUUGGUAAGGUAACGGCUUACCAAGGCAACGAUGCGUAGCCGACCUGAGAGGGUGAUCGGCCACACUGGAACUGAGACACGGUCCAGACUCCUACGGGAGGCAGCAGUAGGGAAUCUUCCGCAAUGGGCGAAAGCCUGACGAAGCAACGCCGCGUGAGCGAUGAAGGUCUUCGGAUCGUAAAACUCUGUUAUUAGGGAAGAACAAAUGUGUAAGUAACUAUGCACGUCUUGACGGUACCUAAGCAGAAAGCCACGGCUAACUACGU
rnacentral:rRNA from 1 species